ensembl:lncRNA
ACAGCAGUUUGCCCCUCAUCAGAGUAAGCACAUCAGACAUUACUUGCACUAACUGCAAUCAUUUCAGAUUCUAUGAAGCUGUGGGGAAAUGUGUUCAUCACACCACUGUACAAUCUACAGAGAUUUCAUUUGGAAGGAAUCCCGUCGAGGUGGUUUGUUUUCUUUCUUUAAUAUCUGCAACAGUCAGAAAAGUGAUGCGAUGCCUGUUCAGCACUACUCAUCAGGAGAAUAGUCUCUAAGAACUGAUGACUUCAAUGAUGGGAACAAGAUGUAAACUUCACUAAAUGUCAUGCGGCCAAAAUAUAACUGUCCUCAGAGCCUAAAGAAUAGAUGUUCAGGGAUUCAUCUACAUUCAUCUACAUUAAUGCCUGUGGAUGCUUCUUGUGAGCUGUGAUUCCAACUAUGUUGCAACCCAGCAGCCUCAGGAAUGGAAGCAUGAAAUGAACUCUAUGCCCACAAAUAGAUCUCUAUCCGUGGAAUUCCAAAUGGGAUGAAUUCUUCCUCUAGAUUUCAUGGAACUUUCACUGCUGAGUUAUUAUGAUUAGGGAUAGAAUCUGGAACCAUAGAGGUGUUAAAAAAAAAAAUCAAAACAAAAUGCAAUCUUGCAGUAGCAAGAUCGAAGUAGCAAUGCCCCCAAAUACCCCUUUAUGCCUACUUUUCCACCUUUGCAUUUUCCUCCAGAACCACACUAUUUCCUUUUAGUUUGCAUCAGUGGAUACUGCAUAAAGCAGAUAUCAUCAGUAUGUCAUUUAACAAAAUUAUCAAAGGAAAACAUAUACUCUAACACUCUCUAACACUACUGUUCAUUUUGAGAUUGUCUGUAUUAAGAAUGUCUUCCUAAGAUUAUAUACAAAAGAAUUAAUUCUGUGACCACACAUAAAUGAUUCACACCAGCUAAAGUUAGGAUAUGUUGUUAGACUCCUCAUAUCAGGAGAUCCUAUUAAAAUUCAUGAAUUACCUAUUAAAGAUUCUGUACAGUAGACAUAUCAAAGAAUCUGUAUUUUAACAUACACAACUACAUCUGUUUUCUAUUUUAACUUGUUGCCAUAUGAUAAUAUUUUCUUAGCCACUGGUGUCUGGGGAGAAGUUGCUGUUCCCACUGUAAAUGUUUCCAUUAUAAAUACUAUUUUAACAAGUGCAUUAACUACAUUAGACCACUUUAAUAAGUGUCAGAUUUAACCUGUGGGCUCUACUCAUUUCAGUUACACAGCAUGUAACUCAUGUUCCCAUUUGCUUUGAAUAAUAAAGCUACAUAAUCCAGAGAUCCAUUGGAGUAUACAAGCGUGGUAGUUUCCCAUCCAGAUAAUUAUGUGCAACUCAAAUUACAUUCCAUUAGCACGUUGGCUAGCUGAUCAUGGAAAAUGGGAUGUACUCAGCCAGAAAGGGUAGGAGCAGUCCAAAUGAACAACUUUAAUAUGUGCAAAGACAAAGGAGAUUCAAAGCACUGAUAUUUGCAUUUUAGAGUGAGUGAUAUAGUGCAAACCCACAUCUUUUCUCCUUUAGUAUUUGUUUUAUUUCCCUAGUAUUUUAGGGGUGGAUGCAACUACAGUUCAAAUGUAUUACUUCAAAUAUAUAAUAUAUUGAACUUGCCAGGAGAUGAGAGACAUCUUUGAGUGGUGAUACAGCCUAAGCCAGGAAAUGGAUGGGAAUCCUCAAAGCAACGCAUCUUUACUCAGUCAUGAUUCUGAGGUAUUUCUUCAAGCAGCUAACAUAGAAGCUGAUCAGCUUGUAUGGUUUCCGCACAUCAAUAUAACAUUUCUGCAUUACAAAGGUCACUGAUGCACGUAAACAUUAUGGCAAUUAUUGUGGAGUCUUUGUGUCUUCAGUUAAUUGGAACUAAGAGAGGAAAAGAGAAACUGUGAAACAGUAUUACGAGACAAUUCUUGAAAUUAAAAUAUUUGGGAGGAAGCUUGGAUGAAAUUUUUGUGUAAGAUUGUUCUGAAAUACUAGUGAAACUAUAUACUGCACUGUAGAAAGCCUAUAGAUACUAACUUGCAAUGACUUUUGAUUGGUGAGAAUGGAUGCAUAUUCCUAUGUAGCUAUAUAAAUGUAUCAUUGUAUGAAUCUGUAAUACUCGAUCUAAAAAAAAAAUCUCCACUU